UCCACAAGAGUGUGCAUUGCACCUACACGUGAGCAACCAUGUGCGCACCCCUGCCUUGCACCCAUGCCCCACCACCCCCCCCGUGUUGCACGACGCCGUGCUCACACCUGUUGCACACCCACCACCAACGUGACCCCCCACACUCACACUCACACUCACAGGCACACACUCACACUCACCCUCACCGCACCUCUCCUGCUGCUCUGCACGGGGAUGGGGACGGUCCCAGUAAUGGUGACAAUCCCAGUAAUGGUGAUGGUGAUAAUGGUGACAGUCCCAGUAAUGGUGAUGGUGGUAACGGUGACAGCCUCAGUAAUGGUGACACAAUAAUGGUGACAAUCCCAGUGACGGUGAAGGUGAUAAUGGUGACAGUCCCAGUAAUGGUGACAAUCCCAGUAACGGUGACAGUGACAAUCCCAGUAAUGGUGACAAACUUAGCAGUGGUGACAAUCCCCGUGACAGUGACAAUCCCAGUGAUGGUGACAGUGACAAUCCCAGUGAUGGUGACAAACCUAGCAGUGGUGACAAUCCCAGCAACAGUGACAGCCCCAGUGACGGUGACAGCG
rnacentral:lncRNA from 1 species